GUAGUCCACGCCGUAAACGUUGGGCGCUAGGUGUGGGUCUCAUUCCACGAGGUCUGUGCCGCAGCUAACGCAUUAAGCGCCCCGCCUGGGGAGUACGGCCGCAAGGCUAAAACUCAAAGGAAUUGACGGGGCCCCGCACAAGCGGCGGAGCAUGCGGAUUAAUUCGAUGCAACGCGAAGAACCUUACCAAGGCUUGACAUUCAGGGUAAACCAUCAGAAAUGGUGGGUCCGCAAGGGAUCUUGAACAGGUGGUGCAUGGUUGUCGUCAGCUCGUGUCGUGAGAUGUUGGGUUAAGUCCCGCAACGAGCGCAACCCUCGUUCUAUGUUGCCAGCGCGUGAUGGCGGGGACU
rnacentral:rRNA from 1 species